UACGUAGGGGGCGAGCGUUGUCCGGAUUCAUUGGGCGUAAAGGGUGCGUAGGCGGCGCGGUAAGUCGGGUGUGAAAUCUCGGAGCUUAACUCCGAAACUGCAUUCGAUACUGCCGUGCUUGAGGACUGGAGAGGAGACUGGAAUUUACGGUGUAGCGGUGAAAUGCGUAGAUAUCUGGAGGAACACCGGUGGCGAAGGCGGCAUCCUGGACCAACACUGACACUGAGGAGCGAAAGCCAGGGGAGCAAACGGG
rnacentral:rRNA from 1 species